ACAAGGGAGAAGAAUACUUGGAAUUAAAAUAGACGAUUUCUCAGGUUCUGGCGCAUCUGUUAUGGUCAUUAUUUAUCGACUGUCCGCCCUGAGGUUGACAGUGUCGCAGCUAACGCAGUCCUCCUUCACAUGCAAGUCGGACGUUUGUCAUGAAAGGAUUCUUGUGAGAGAUGAUAAAUGGUGUGACGGAAUUACCGCCGCGCUGCAACGUAUGGACAAUUACUUUUUCUCUCAACAGGCACCGCUCAUUACCUGGCCCGUAAACUAUUUUAUUCAGAUGAUUUAUGUGAAGUGAUUCAUGAACAAUAUUUUCGACUCUCAAAAGUUUUUUUCGGGGGUGGUUGUUUUUCUUCCCGACCGCAGACGAACACCUGCAAACCACCCUCACAACUCACUCAUGUGAGUUGUGACUCCUCGCGGAUGUUUUUGAUUGUGUUGCAUGUCUGGCCACCUGCCAGCUAAUCCUUGAAAAGCAUUCUUUACUGCCUAUGAACGAAUCUGGAUAAGCAGAUGUCGUACGGAUUGAUUCGCUGGAUGCUUCGAGUUUACAUAUGUCUGUUGGACUCGCUGCCGUUCUGCCUUGUCCUGGAGCCCAGAUGGCGAAAAGUAAAAACUCAACUACAAUCAACUGAUAUUGUGAGAUUUAUAUUUCAGAUAUCCAGUGGCAUUGUGGGAAACUGCCGAUCAUGUCAGGAACUCUUCCACUAUGGACGGAAUUCUUACAUCACCGGGAGAAGGCAGCUUGUCCUUGGUGCAGGGGCCUAUUGUUUACCCCCAGACAGUGACAGUGACAUCAUAGUGAACAAUCUCAUUAUCCCAUGGCACUAGAACAAGAACAGAGCUCGAUGAACAGCGUUUUGCUUGCGUCUCCCUCUCCCUCUGUUUAUUUCUCGGUCACUUCCAUCUGCGUGAAUGCUGUCCGCCUGCUCUGUGUCUGUGUGGUCUGUCCUCCUUCCAGGUCUCCAGGGCUGAGAGGAGGACUUGCGGCCCACCUAUGCUGCGACAUCCACAGCUGCUCUACGUCCUUCUGGAUCCCUCCUCCGUUGCUCUUCCUGCAUUUUUUGUUGUUGUUGUUUUUUUCACCCACAUUAAACA